UGAGAGGCAGGACAGAGAGUCUGUCUGGAAGUAACAGAAGUUGGGGGAGCACUUUGUACUUCCACAGGCAGAGGAAAUGGAGGAUUUGUAAACUAGAAGACCAAAAAGGCAAGAAAUGCACGGUUGACCCUAAGGAAAGAAAACAGCAUUUGGAUACUGGAGAAAUGGAGGCACAAUCCAAACGGGCUUGGGGAGGUGGAUUCAGACAUGUCUGGUCAGGGCCACAAGGACCUCUUGAAGAUGGUUGUCCAACAUUGCUUAACCACAACCUGUGGCUGGAAAUACUUCUUACACAGUCACCCAGCAUCCAUGUGCAGAGAGUGACCUGUGCACAUGCAUGCAAACACACACAAAUAUAGAAAGAAAAAAAAUGGAAGUGACGGGCUGGGAUUUGGGGUGCUUAUAGUAAUUUUAUCUGGAUCUUAUGGGGCACAAUGGUCCUGGUGACAUGCGCACUUUGUUCACAAGAACACCAAGAAUGCACUCAGAGUCACCCGACCUCUCCGCUUCCUCAGCCUCCAUCAUGGGGCUGUGUCUCUGUGUUUGGUUUUGUAACUGUGUGUCUUGCAUCUGUUAUCUAGGGGUCCGGGGGAACUCUGCCUAUGAGACUGUCUUUUGUGCCUGUGUAUCUGUAUGUCCCUAUGUCUGUCUGUUGCUGUGUUCCCCUGCAGGCCACAGAGAAAGAAACAUACCAACCUGUGUCCAGGUUUCCAGAAUCCUUUCUUCGUGUUUCCUGGAUCCUCUGUGUCUUGGGUCUAUGAGAAGCCUGGACAGAAUCCUGGCUUCACUCUGGAAUCAGAAAACCUCAGAGCUGGAAAAGCCCUUGGAAAUAAUUGGGUUCAAGCACCUCCUUUAGAAACGGGGGAAACAGGAUGCAUAGUACAGGAAGACAGAUGCUGUGAGGAAGGAGAAAGAGUCAGAGAGUCAGAGGUUCUAGAACUGUGCCAUCCAACACAGCAGCGCUGGUCAGCAAUGCCUCCUGAACAUUAGAAAUGUGACAAGUCCAAACUGAGAUGUGUUGUAAGUGUAAAGUACAUUGCAGAUUUCAAAGACAUGAAAAAAAAUAAUAUGAAAAAAGAACAUAAAAUUGUUCAAUAAUGCUUAUACUGAUUGCAUAUUUAAGUGAUUAUGGAUACAGUGGGCUAAAAAUAUAUUACUAAAAUUAAUUUCACCUGUUUAUUUUUACAUUUUUUAACGUAACUGCCAGAAUUAAAUUAUGUAUGCAGGUCCCAUUUCUGACUUGCUUUAUAUUUUCAUAGGACACAUGACUUGGAAUCUUGUAUGAGACAUUUAGCUUCUCUAAGCCUCAACUUUCCCAACUGUAAAAUGGGUAUAAUGAUGCCUAUCUCUUGGGAUUGUUGUGAGGAUUAUUUGAGAGAAUAUAUGAAAAUACUUUUAAAUCAUAAGAGCUAUUCAGAUGAAGGUGUGGAAGGUACUCAGAUUUUAGCCAAGAGAACAAAGGUGAAGGAUUUAAUAAUUUGACCUUCCCCAAACAACCAUAAAGCCAGCCCUGAGGGUAGGCAGGAUUGUGACCACUAAUCACCAUGGUUUUGGUGCUGGAGAGUAACCCACUCUGCCCCAACCCUGUCCCAACCCUGUAGAUUUAUUACCCAAACCAAUCCUUUCAAAAGCCCAGGCAGCCUCGUUCUUGCUCAGCAACUGGCUUAUGAGCCAGACCACAUCAUCCUCACCAACCACAAGUCUCAGCCACCCCUCCAGCCUCCUCUGGUCCAGCAGCUGUAUCCUUUCAAGGUAGCAAGAAGCUUUCUUCCCCAGAGCAUCCAUCCUUAAAAGGACCACUCCACAUUUGAGUGAGAUUUCCCAACUGUGUUUUUUCUCUGUUCUUUUGCCAGAGACCCAGGGCACUGAGAACUCCAAAAACAGAGAGAUGGCCCCAAAUUCGGCCUUGCAGGGAGGGAUCAGUCCCUUCCUGAGACCAUCACCCAGGGCUAUCCCUGUUGCAAUGGUGGUCUCGUAACAAUUGCUUACAAACCUGGUUAGGCAAGUUGCUUUUGCGUGAUGGGGCUAUCUUGAGUAAAUAGCAUCCUAUGUCCCCUGCCGGUCACUUGCUCAAGACAUUGCUGGACAUUGCAUUAGAGUCACUGACACACAGAGUUUUGAAAAUGAAAACAGGCCCUCUGGCUUCUGAUCAGAUAGCAUUUAACUCAUUCAUGAUUGCGCCAGGAUUUCCCAAGGCUCCGGGGCCACAGAAUGGAUAUUGCCACAACGCGAACAGAGGUUGAUGGGGACAGUUGGAGCCUCAGGCCACUUACAGGAGGAGGCUUCCAAAGACGAGCAGGCCACCAGGGGUCUGCAUCACCUUGACCCCAAUAACCCCCACAUGGGCCUCUUCUGGGACUGUUUAGCAAAUUGGCUAAACCUGGGGGCCAGGUUCAACCCCCAGGGGUUUGGGGGAGUAAGUUUUUGCCCCUUAUUUUGGGGACUUGUCCCGAUGAUAGAUAGAGCUCCUGAGUUGAAAGAGAUGGACAAGAUGUAUCCUAGCCAUCUAUUGCAAUGUAACAAAUCAGGCCAAAACAUCACGGCUUAAAACAAUGACUGUGACUUCUCAUAGUUCUGCUGGUCGGCUAGACAGUUCCUCUGCUGGUUUUGUCUGGGUCCAUUGGAAGGUCAGUUGGCAUGGAAGGUCCAAGAUGGCCUCACUCAUGAGUCUGGUAGAUGGUCCUGGCUGCUGCUGGGGGCACCCCAGUCCUUCUGCAUGCGGCCUGUCACCUUUCAGUUGGUGAACUUCUGGCUGCCUUAUGUGGGGUCUCAGGAGAGCAUCCCAAGGGGCAAAGGUGAAAGCCACAGAGCAUCUGGAUGCCUCGGUUCCAGAACUCACACAACCUCACUUCCACCACGUGCUGCCAGUCCAAGCGACUCCCCAGAAUCAGCUCAGGUUCUAGGAAUCAAGAAAUAGAUUCUUCCUCUUUACAGCAGUUGCUGAAACACAUGUUUUUCAGAUCUAGCACAAGGUGAGAAAAUAUAAAUGGCUCCAUGGAAAAACUUCCUUACUAUUCGAAAAUAAUUUGGCCAAGGUGUACUUUCUUGAAUCAAAACUCCAGACACCUAGACUGAAGAGAACUUCCCUCUGAUCUGUGAGUGUGUGUACAAAGGUGCAUUCAGGACAAUCCCUAUUCUACCAAACUGCAGACUGCAGCUCAGGGAUCUUUCAAGAUUUUGCCCUGGAACCAAAGCCAGACCUGGAUCUAGAACCAGUUCCAUGCUCCAUCCACCUGCAGCCAGUCUCCAGAGUCUGGGCGUGGGACCUCCUGUGCUGUGCUUCGAGGAAGUGUUUUCUGCCUGCCUGGACAGAGGGACGGAGGGGGUGGCAUUUCCCUCCAGACCUGGGAGGUGCACCUUUUGAUCAUUAUCGAGCCAUCUGUCAGCACCACUCUACCUGGCUCCGGACUUUCUCCUUCCCAGAGGGCCCAUCUCUCCGUGAGUGGCCACACCAGGAUCAUCCUGGAGAUGCAGACUGUCACAGGGAAAGCAGCUGUGAGGAUCAGCCACUCCAGGAACUGGCUCGGACACCCCAGUUUUCCCAGACAGAGCAUCGAUGAGCAUGCCAAGGGCUGGGUCCCACAAAGCCUGCCUUCCCCGCAGGAACUCCCAAGGCCUCAGCGUAUCUCCCAUCUCCCAGUGAAGCAAUCUACAUAAUGAGCCACAUUAAUAUCGAGGCGACCUGAGGCCACUUGUCUCAACCUGGAGCCCAGGUGCCUGUCGCAACGAGCACAUAAAUGAUUAUUCAGCUCCCUUCCAACCAGCUGAGCAAAGAUUAAUGGGGUCUCACUCUGGGAUGGCUGCCUAGCACCCUACUUCCCUGGGCUGGACUCUGUCCCCAGAACAGGUUUUUCAGGAAAACUGACCCCUAUGCACCACAAGGGCACUCUUCUGACAUGGCAGCUGAAAUGCCAAAACAGCCCCAGGGAGUCUGGACCUCACUCUGGCUCUGGAUAUUCUUUGAAAGGCUGUUUUGUUAAGCAACAUCCUUUGAGCCUUUUUGUAUGGGCAAGACACCCUCCAGGCUACUGCAAUGCUCUAAGGAAGACCCUCUGACCUCCACUCCAAAGUCCUACCAUUUCAUAAAAGAAAACACAUCUAACUGAAAAGAUGAAUGAGGUGGGUGGGGAGUAGGGCUAACCUCUACAAUGACUGAGCACAGAGGGAAAUACCACCCCUAAAAGUAUCACUCCCCUCAUUUGAAAGGCUUCCCUAGAGGCUCAGUGGUCAAGAAUCCACCUGCCAAUGCAGGAGACUUGGGUUUGAUCCCUGGUCUGGGAAGAUCCCACAUGCCACAGAGCAAUUAAGCCCAGGAGCCAC